AACUCUGGAGGAAGGAAAGAAGCCACCCUCCAGGAAGGAAUAAGAACCGCUCUGGAACAUUCCCAGGAAAGGUCGCUGGGGGGCAGACCUGAGAGGUUCCCCGGACUCGGCGGACCCAGAUCCCCCGCAGGGCAGCCCCUGGUGAGUCAGGGCCUGAGUCAGCGCCCUCCGCCUUCCCAGAGGCCCCGCCAGGACCUGCAGCCCUGGGCGCCCCAGCAGCCCGGCCCUGCUCAGCGCAGCUCUGGGUUGGAACUUGCACUUUCCGGCUGGAGUGCAGUGGCGCGAUCUCGGCUCACCGCAACCUCCGUCUCCCCGGUUCAAGCGAUUCUCCUGCCUCAGCCUCCCAAGUAGCUGGGAUUACAGGCGUGUGCCACCACGCCCGGCUAAUGUUGUAUUUUCAGUAGAGACGGGGUUUCAGCAUGUUGGUCAAGCUGGUCUCUAACUCUUGAUCUCAAGUGAACGACCAGCCUCAGCCUCCCAAAGUGCUGGGAUUACAGGCGUGAGCCACCGCGCACGGCUAUCCCUUCCAAUAUUUCCGAGGCCAGCUGCCCAGAGAAGGAGGGCUGGGUGGAGAGGACCGUGCCAGCAGCAGUAGGCCUGGGCCAGGAGACAGGCACGCACCUCCGCGGUCUCUGGCGAGUCUAUGUCCACACAGCGGCAGGACCUCCACCCCCAGCCACCUGCAGCAGCCCCACAUCUCCCCCGGGUCACCCUGCUGACAUCAAGAAUGCCUCCCCCAAUGUCCCAACCCAUGAGGGCUUCUUGGAGCUGAACCAGGGCACCGGCCACUUCUGGAGGGGGGCUGCUCGUGACUUCCGACCUCUGUCUCGCUAGUUGGCAUGAGAAGACUGGACUCCUUCUGCAGGCCUCAGGGCAGAGGCAGAUGUCAGCCCCCAGGGAUGUCACUGCCAGAACCCCAGAUGCCCCAAGCCAUCCGGACUCCCCCUGUGCAGUAUCUCUGCUACAAUAAAAUGUACCCAGAUCUGAGUCCUCUCACCUGGGCGACUGCCAAUGUCCCCUGCGGCCCCAUACCCCGCCCCCAGGAGCCCAGAGAAUCUUUCUUUUUAAAGAUAUUCAGACCUCACAGAUAAGUCUGCCCUGACCAGCCCCUCCCCAGUUCCCAGGCCCUAUCCUGACAACAGCCACAACUUCGGAGCAGCUGAAACCUGCUGUGAGUGAAAAAUGAGAAGCCGUUGUUUUAAUUUUACUUUCUCUGAUUACUAAUGAGGUUAUUUCUUCUCUGCAUAAAAACUUCAUUCGUGUUUAA